rnacentral:rRNA from 1 species
AGUGAACGCUGGCGGUAGGCCUAACACAUGCAAGUCGAACGGCAGCACAGUAAGAGCUUGCUCUUACGGGUGGCGAGUGGCGGACGGGUGAGGAAUACAUCGGAAUCUACUUUUUCGUGGGGGAUAACGUAGGGAAACUUACGCUAAUACCGCAUACGACCUACGGGUGAAAGUAGGGGAUCUCCGGACCUUGCGCGAUUGAAUGAGCCGAUGUCGGAUUAGCUAGUUGGCGGGGUAAAGGCCCACCAAGGCGACGAUCCGUAGCUGGUCUGAGAGGAUGAUCAGCCACACUGGAACUGAGACACGGUCCAGACUCCUACGGGAGGCAGCAGUGGGGAAUAUUGGACAAUGGGCGCAAGCCUGAUCCAGCCAUACCGCGUGGGUGAAGAAGGCCUUCGGGUUGUAAAGCCCUUUUGUUGGGAAAGAAAAGCAGCAGGUUAAUACCCCGCUGUUCUGACGGUACCCAAAGAAUAAGCACCGGCUAACUUCGUG